rnacentral:misc_RNA from 1 species
AAAUCAUUUUAUAGAGAAACUCGUGUGUCAGUUUAGUAAGAUAAGUGUGCCAUACAGUUUGAGUUAACCAAAAUCCAAACCUGACCUGACCUUACCUACAAUGUAUGACCUAAAACCUUAAACUCAACAGACAACCUAACCUACUGGCUAGGUAUCCCCUCUCGGGCCUCUCUUUGGUUGCAAAAAACAAGUUGAAGUUGAAGUAUGAUGCCUGCUUGCCUUAAUACCACCAGACUUUGUACCUUGACCUUUUAUGGAUUUGAUUUGCACUUCGGAGUUCAGCUUCACUACAAUAAAAUGAUAUUUUAAGUUUUUAUAUUAAUUUUGUGUUCAUUGUGUACUAAUAUACCCUAGUAUUCAGUAGUUGUGAUUUCACAGUCUUCAAUGAAUGACAUCACCUUCCCGGAAUGAUUUAUCAACAUUAUUUCUGCAGGUGUUGUGUCAUGGCUCUGGUGCUUUCUUUGGUGGUGGUGGGAGCCACGAUUCUGCCGACUUCCAGCAGCAUAUAUGAGACAGACUGUGCGGCAACACUGCAAAUGGGGCAGUAUUUAUGUCUAGACCUCAAUAUUGACCCCAAGACACAACAGCCAGCAGGAUGCACCCCUGAAGGAAAGGCAUUAGUAAACUGUACUGUUGCUCCAGGAAUAAUAUGCAAGGAAUCAGGAAAUAAUACAUUUGAGAAGCACAUUCCCUGCAAAUACACCAACGGCUACUCGUUCGAGACGUCCCUGCUGCUGUCGGUGUUUCUCGGCUUUCUGGGCGCCGACCGUUUCUACCUGGGCUACCCGGGCCUGGGUCUGUUCAAGUUCUGCACUCUCGGCUUUCUGUUCGUCGGUCAGCUAGUGGACAUUGUCCUGAUUGCGACGCAGGUGGUGAAGCCGGCUGACGGCUCCGACUACAUCAUCAGCUACUACGGAGCGGGCCUGGAGAUUCGGACCAUGGAUAACAUGACGUACAGGGUGGUGCAGCCAGACUGGUAGCGGCGGAGAGCGGAGGGCGAUUACAGGUGCGGGGGAGCCGAUAGUGGCAUGAGAUCAGGCAUGGGUGGAUCCAGACAGGUGGCAACGGACCCUACAUAAGGCAUACUCUACGAAAAGGUCCUCCAAAAUGUAAUAACUCCACGAGUUUCAUUUUUCUGCGCGUUGCUGUGCAAUUCAAAGGAAGCAUUUUUGAUGUGGUUUGAUAUAUUUGUUUGUGUGCGAGGAAGAUGGUUUUUCUCAUGCCUUUCGGACGCUGUGGGAUCGGUGCCCAUGAUGCUCCUUGAUCCACCAGUGACUGCGGUUGAUCGUGUUUUGACUCGUACAGAUAGGCUAUUGUACGAUUUCAAGACUCUACACCACGAAAUGAUGUGGGCUUGAUUGAUCUGUGAUAUAUCUUUUCAUGUGCGAUAACUGGUUUGUGUGUGACCAAAAUUGUCGGAUUUUUCAUCUCACUCAUUCAUCACUCAUCAGUGUGUUAAAUGUUAAACAUGAAUGUCGUGUAUAACGUAAAUAAUGAAUACAUAGGUACAUCACGAUA